UACGUAGGGGGCAAGCGUUGUCCGGAUUUAUUGGGCGUAAAGAGCGUGUAGGCGGUUUGGUAGGUCCGCUGUGAAAACUCGAGGCUCAACCUCGAGACGCCGGUGGAAACCAUCAGGCUAGAGUCCGGAAGAGGAGAGUGGAAUUCCUGGUGUAGCGGUGAAAUGCGCAGAUAUCAGGAAGAACACCCGUGGCUAAGGCGGCUCACUGGCCCGUAACUGACGCUGAGGUGCGAAAGCGUGGGGAGCAAACAGG
rnacentral:rRNA from 1 species